UUCGCCAAAAGGUCUACAAGGUCUUCUCGACUGUGUACAAACUUCUGCUUGUAAAUGGAGACUUAAAUAUAACGGAACAAAAAGUUGUGUCUUGGCUUUUAAUAAUAAUACAGAUGUUGACAUUAAGCUUGGAAAUACAAAAAUAGCGUGUAAAACUGAUACAAUUUAUGCUGGUACAUUGAUAACUAACAAUAAUAAAACGUUUGAAAGGACAAAAAAUGCGGCUAAGAAGUUAAAGAAAAAUCUACACUCAUUGUAUAGUGCUGGAGUAAACCCGAAAGGCCUUACGCCGAUUACAAACACGUUAAUAUGGAAGCGUUUUGUUCUUCCUACAUCAUUGUACUCUUGCGAAGUAUGGGGACAACUCUAAAAUUC
rnacentral:lncRNA from 1 species